rnacentral:rRNA from 1 species
GCUAUAAUGCAGUCGAGCGGACAGAUGGGAGCUUGCUCCCUGAUGUUAGCGGCGGACGGGUGAGUAACACGUGGGUAACCUGCCUGUAAGACUGGGAUAACUCCGGGAAACCGGGGCUAAUACCGGAUGGUUGUUUGAACCGCAUGGUUCAGACAUAAAAGGUGGCUUCGGCUACCACUUACAGAUGGACCCGCGGCGCAUUAGCUAGUUGGUGAGGUAACGGCUCACCAAGGCAACGAUGCGUAGCCGACCUGAGAGGGUGAUCGGCCACACUGGGACUGAGACACGGCCCAGACUCCUACGGGAGGCAGCAGUAGGGAAUCUUCCGCAAUGGACGAAAGUCUGACGGAGCAACGCCGCGUGAGUGAUGAAGGUUUUCGGAUCGUAAAGCUCUGUUGUUAGGGAAGAACAAGUGCCGUUCAAGUAGGGCGGCACCUUGACGGUACCUAACCAGAAAGCCACGGCUAACUACGUGCCAGCAGCCGCGGUAAUACGUAGGUGGCAAGCGUUGUCCGGAAUUAUUGGGCGUAAAGGGCUCGCAGGCGGUUUCUUAAGUCUGAUGUGAAAGCCCCCGGCUCAACCGGGGAGGGUCAUUGGAAACUGGGGAACUUGAGUGCAGAAGAGGAGAGUGGAAUUCCACGUGUAGCGGUGAAAUGCGUAGAGAUGUGGAGGAACACCAGUGGCGAAGGCGACUCUCUGGUCUGUAACUGACGCUGAGGAGCGAAAGCGUGGGGAGCGAACAGGAUUAGAUACCCUGGUAGUCCACGCCGUAAACGAUGAGUGCUAAGUGUUAGGGGGUUUCCGCCCCUUAUGCUGCAGCUAACGCAUUAAGCACUCCGCCUGGGGAGUACGGUCGCAAGACUGAAACUCAAAGGAAUUGACGGGGGCCCGCACAAUCAGU